rnacentral:rRNA from 1 species
AGAGUUUGAUCCUGGCUCAGAUUGAACGCUGGCGGCAUGCCUUACACAUGCAAGUCGAACGGUAACGCGGGGGCAACCCUGGCGACGAGUGGCGAACGGGUGAGUAAUACAUCGGAACAUAUCCAGUAGCGGGGGAUAACCUAUCGAAAGAUGGACUAAUACCGCAUACGAUCUACGGAUGAAAGCAGGGGACCGCAAGGCCUUGCACUAUUGGAGUGGCCGAUGUCGGAUUAGCUAGUUGGUGGGGUAAAAGCUUACCAAGGCGACGAUCCGUAGCUGGUCUGAGAGGACGAUCAGCCACACUGGAACUGAGACACGGUCCAGACUCCUACGGGAGGCAGCAGUGGGGAAUUUUGGGCAAUGGGCGCAAGCCUGAUCCAGCCAUGCCGCGUGAGUGAAGAAGGCCUUCGGGUUGUAAAGCUCUUUCGGUGAAGACGAAACGGUUCAUGCUAAUAACGUGAACUAAUGACGGUACUCACAGAAGAAGCACCGGCUAACUACGUGCCAGCAGCCGCGGUAAUACGUAGGGUGCAGGCGUUAAUCGGAAUUACUGGGCGUAAAGCGUGCGCAGGCGGUUUGCUAAGACAGGUGUGAAAUCCCCGGGCUUAACCUGGGAAUUGCGCUUGUAACUGGCAAGCUAGAGUGUGGCAGAGGGGGGUGGAAUUCCACGUGUAGCAGUGAAAUGCGUAGAUAUGUGGAGGAACACCGAUGGCGAAGGCAGCCCCCUGGGUUAACACUGACGCUCAUGCACGAAAGCGUGGGGAGCAAACGGGAUUAGAUACCCUGGUAGUCCACGCCCUAAACUAUGUCAACUAGUUGUCGGGGAAGGAAUUCCUUGGUAACGAAGCUAACGCGUGAAGUUGACCGCCUGGGGAGUACGGCCGCAAGGUUAAAACCCAAAGGAAUUGACGGGGACCCGCACAAGCGGUGGAUUAUGUGGAUUAAUUCGAUGCAACGCGAAAAACCUUACCUACCCUUGACAUGCUAGGAAGCCCGCAGAGAUGUGGGUGUGCCCGAAAGGGAACCUAGACACAGGUGCUGCAUGGCUGUCGUCAGCUCGUGUCGUGAGAUGUUGGGUUAAGUCCCGCAACGAGCGCAACCCUUGCCAUUAGUUGCUACAUUCAGUUGGGCACUCUAAUGGGACCGCCGGUGACAAACCGGAGGAAGGUGGGGAUGACGUCAAGUCCUCAUGGCCCUUAUGGGUAGGGCUUCACACGUAAUACAAUGGUCGGUACAGAGGGCUGCCAACCCGCAAGGGGGAGCUAAUCCCAGAAAGCCGAUCGUAGUCCGGAUUGUAGUCUGCAACUCGACUGCAUGAAGCCGGAAUCGCUAGUAAUCGCGGAUCAGCAUGUCGCGGUGAAUACGUUCCCGGGUCUUGUACACACCGCCCGUCACACCAUGGGAGUGGGUUCCACCAGAAGUAGUUAGCCUAACCGCAAGGAGGGCGAUUACCACGGUGAGAUUCAUGACUGGGGUGAAGUCGUAACAAGGUA